GCUCUAAUACAUUUAGAGUCAUAGUCUUAUAUAAUUUAACACCCUGACCAGGGAUUCUAUCACGACGGGAAGAUACAAGAGAAAGACAUCCAUAUGACUUGAAAUCAAGUAUUGAGCUUAUGUUUGUUAAAUUUGUAGAUGCUGUUAAAUCAAGCAGGAUGAAGAGGGGGUUGUUAAUGGAGUGUCAGAAAAGGAAUUAAAAAUGAAGAUGAUAAAUAGCAAUGUCACAUCCUCAAGAGAAGGAAACACGGGCAAGCUGUGGGAC
rnacentral:lncRNA from 10 species